rnacentral:ribozyme from 1 species
GGCACGAUUCCUGAUGCGUUCGGAUCCAUGACAUCUCUAUCUGUCGCAGACAUGACAGGGAACGAUCUCACUGGCUCCAUUCCUACCACUAUCGGUGGCGCUCGCGAUCUGAUCCUUAUCGAUUUCUCGGAUAAUCUGCUGAACUCCUCGAUUCCUUCCGAGCU